GAUGAACGCUGGCGGCGUGCCUAAGACAUGCAAGUCGAGCGGGGCUAAGGGAAUAGUUUACUAUGAACUUAGCCUAGCGGCGGACGGGUGAGUAACACGUGGGUAAUCUACCUAUCAGACUGGGAUAACACUCUGAAAGGGGUGCUAAUACCGGAUACGACUCUAUAGCCGGGAGGCGAUAGAGGGAAAGGUGGCCUAUCGAAGAAGCCAUCGCUGAGAGAUGAGCCCGCGUCCCAUUAGCUAGUUGGUAGGGUAAAGGCCUACCAAGGCGACGAUGGGUAGCCGGCCUGAGAGGGUGGUCGGCCACACUGGGACUGAGAUACGGCCCAGACUCCUACGGGAGGCAGCAGUCGGGAAUUUUGCGCAAUGGGCGGAAGCCUGACGCAGCGACGCCGCGUGGGGGAGGAAGGGCUUUCGGGUUGUAAACCCCUGUCUUCGGGGACGAAAUUGUCUUUAUUAAUAGUAGAGGCAGAUGACGGUACCCGAGGAGGAAGCCCCGGCUAACUACGUGCCAGCAGCCG
rnacentral:rRNA from 1 species